AUUGAACGCUGGCGGCAGGCCUAACACAUGCAAGUCGAGCGGAUGAAGGGAGCUUGCUCCUGGAUUCAGCGGCGGACGGGUGAGUAAUGCCUAGGAAUCUGCCUGGUAGUGGGGGAUAACGUCCGGAAACGGGCGCUAAUACCGCAUACGUCCUGAGGGAGAAAGUGGGGGAUCUUCGGACCUCGCGCUAUCAGAUGAGCCUAGGUCGGAUUAGCUAGUUGGUGGGGUAAAGGCCUACCAAGGCGACGAUCCGUAACUGGUCUGAGAGGAUGAUCAGUCACACUGGAACUGAGACACGGUCCAGACUCCUACGGGAGGCAGCAGUGGGGAAUAUUGGACAAUGGGCGAAAGCCUGAUCCAGCCAUGCCGCGUGUGUGAAGAAGGUCUUCGGAUUGUAAAGCACUUUAAGUUGGGAAGAAGGGCGGUAAGCUAAUACCUUGCUGUUUUGACGUUACCAAAAGAAUAAGCACCGGCUAACUUCGUG
rnacentral:rRNA from 1 species